CUGGUGAUGGCUCAGCAGGUAAGAGCACUGAUUGCUCUUCUGAAGGUCCUGAGUUCAAAUCCCAGCAACCACA
rnacentral:tRNA from 1 species